CCGUUAUAGUCACCACUUGACAACACUCAACUCCAGAAACAGACGGAAAUGUCAAGGAAAUGACCACGAGAAACGACGUCAUUCUUGUCAUUCUGCCGAGUGCAGGUCCUAAUUUCAAAACACAAGAAGCAUCUUAUCAUUUAAUAAUAAAAAUUAUAAUAUAGCAUUUGUAAAUUCUGAACGCUGAUUGGCUAAGAGCCGUGUUGAUAUAACUCCAUGUCAACACGGGAAAUUUUCCGCCGCUUGUAAACACGGAAAUUUUUCUUAUUCUUCGGGCUUUUGACAUUGCUAUAUUAUAAAACAAAUAUAAAACAUUUUUUCCGUAUUGAUAUAUAGUUAUAUCAACACUCGUGGAAGUUGGGAAAUCUCG